CUGAUUGAUGUUGAGAUGAUGCAUGAUGUGAUAUAGGUGAUGACUCACACUGUGUGGAAUAGGUGCUUGAGAUAGAAUUUGAUAGAGAUACUGAGCAGUGUGUUUUUCUGAAUUCUGUGACUUGUGAGUUUACCUGUGUGAGUUUGUGGCUUCAGAGUUGUUUGUAAAUAAUUGCUAUUACUUUGAAAGCACGAAUGAUUUUGCCCAAAUUUUC
rnacentral:lncRNA from 1 species